UGACAUUUGGGUAUAAAUAUCUUUGUGAUGAUGAAUAUAGCAACAACAUGAAAGCAAAAUUGGUAUUAGUUUGCGUACUCCUAACUCUGGGAUUGAUUCAAGCCCAUAAUUCUACAGAUAGUGGCAGUGGUUUUCCUGGAGGACCUCCAGGCGGACCUCCCGGUGGACAAGGUCCUCCCGGACGAGGUCCUUCGCCUGGUGCGGAUGGUCCAUCGGGACGUGGUCCACCGCCCGGGCCACCUCCAACAGAAUCAUCAAAAUAGAUAAAAUGACAAAAAAUAUGUUUGAAUAAAUAAAUUGUACGAAAAAAUUUGUUUUAUUAUAAUUUGAAAUGACA